rnacentral:rRNA from 1 species
AUUGAACGCUGGCGGCAGGCCUAACACAUGCAAGUCGAGCGGAGCGGCGGACGCGUGAGUAAUGCCUAGGUAUCGGCCAGGUAGUGGGGGAUAACGUUAGCAAACGGGCGCUAAUCCCGCAUACUAUUAGAUGCGGCUAGGUCGGAUUAGCUAGUUGGUGGGGUAAAGGCCUACCAAGGCGACGAUCCGUAACUGGUCUGAGAGGUGGAGCAUGCACACUGGAACUGAGACACGGUCCAGACUCCUACGGGAGGCAGCAGUGGGGAAUAUUGUACAAUGGGCGAAAGCCUGAUGCAGCAAUGCCGCGUGUAUGAAGAAGGCCUUCGGAUUGUAAAGCACUUUAAGCAGGGAGGCGUUACCAGCAGAAUAAGCACCGGCUAACUCCGUGCCAGCAGCCGCGGUAAUAC